UCUACUCGGACCGAGUUAUCUGAACCAUCGUCGGAAAAAAAACGGCGUCUAGCGGCGGACGGGUGAGUAAUGCCUAGGAAAUUGCCCUGAUGUGGGGGAUAACCAUUGGAAACGAUGGCUAAUACCGCAUGAUGCCUACGGGCCAAAGAGGGGGACCUUCGGGCCUCUCGCGUCAGGAUAUGCCUAGGUGGGAUUAGCUAGUUGGUGAGGUAAGGGCUCACCAAGGCGACGAUCCCUAGCUGGUCUGAGAGGAUGAUCAGCCACACUGGAACUGAGACACGGUCCAGACUCCUACGGGAGGCAGCAGUGGGGAAUAUUGCACAAUGGGCGCAAGCCUGAUGCAGCCAUGCCGCGUGUGUGAAGAAGGCCUUCGGGUUGUAAAGCACUUUCAGUCGUGAGGAAGGUAGUGUAGUUAAUAGCUGCAUUAUUUGACGUUAGCGACAGAAGAAGCACCGGCUAACUCCGUGCCAGCAGCCGCGGUAAUACGGAGGGUGCGAGCGUUAAUCGGAAUUACUGGGCGUAAAGCGCAUGCAGGUGGUUUGUUAAGUCAGAUGUGAAAGCCCGGGGCUCAACCUCGGAAUUGCAUUUGAAACUGGCAGACUAGAGUACUGUAGAGGGGGGGUAGAAUUUCACGUGUAGCGGUGAAAUGCGUAGAGAUCUGAAGGAAUACCGGUGGCGAAUGCGGCCCCCUGGACAGAUACUGACACUCAGAUGCGAAAGCGUGGGGGAGCAAACAGGAUUAGAUACUCUGGUAGUCCACGCCGUAAACGAUGUCUACUUGGAGAUUUGGCCUUCCCCCGUGGCUUUCUGAGCUGACGCGUUAAUAGACAGCCCGAGGAGUACCGUCGCGCGAUCAAUCUCAAAUGAAUUGACAGCUGCCCGCACUAUCCGUGGAGCAUGUGCGUAUUAAUUGCAUGCACCCCCCAGUAUCACUACCUACUGCUGGACAUGCAGUAAACUUUCCCUACUUCGGAUUGUUGACCUCAGGA
rnacentral:rRNA from 1 species